UAUUUAUGUAAUUUGCUAAUGUCUUACUAUAAAAUACAUAUAUAAUGCAUAUUAUAUACAUAAUAUAUGCAUUCAUUGUGUACUAUAGGGCAUAGAUCAAGGCUUAUGGUUAAUGAUAUAGACAUUUGUUUUUAAACCCACUUUUUAGAAUAUGUGUGCUAGCUAGCAUUAAACGUAAUUAAUCUCAAUAACAUGUUAGGUUUGACAACCAUGAAGUAAAUGCAUGCUGAUUUUAUAUGUACAAUGUUUCUAAAUGUGUUUUUUGUGGCUCUGUAUGUUCAGAAAGAGGAAGAGGAGGCUCGCCAGAGAGAAGAGGCAGAGCGUUUGCGUCUGGAGAGAGAGAAACACUUCCAGAAAGAGGAGGCUGAGAGAAUGGAGAGGAAGAAGGUAAGCUAAUUUCAUUUUGAGUGCUUUUUGAGGUAAUGGCAGGGUUGAAAUGUUAUCUGAAUCUUGUCUGUCACAGCGCCUUGAGGAAAUUAUGAAACGCACACGCCGAUCUGAUCAGAAAACCACCCCACAGAGAAAUGGCGAUGUCAGCCAGCAGAGCGGACAGAAUUCAGUGAGUUCAAUAUCCAGCAGCCCUUCAGUGACAGUGUCAGCCCCUCAGGCUCCGGAGACCUCUGAGACAGUAUGCAGUGACAGUAAUGGACACACAGGGCCCAGCUGCGUUACACCCAUACUGCCCACAUCAGGUCACAGUGUGGCUGUCCAGCUCAGAGAAAAUGGCACUGUCACAGAGGCUUUCGAGGAGGUCAUAGAGGUUCCCGUGGGGACCAAACUGUCCCGUCAAGAUGGAGAUGGAGAGGAGGUGGAAAAUGAAGAAGAGGAGAAGAGAAAGGUUCCCUUAUUGGCUUUCAGAGAGAAUGGCAGCAUGCAUAAUGUGAGUGGACUGGAGGAAAACCCGGCACAGUAAAGUUCAG
ensembl:lncRNA